UACAGAGGUCCCAAGCGUUGUUCGGAUUCAUUGGGCGUAAAGGGUGCGUAGGCGGCGCGGUAAGUCGGGUGUGAAAUCUCGGAGCUUAACUCCAAAACUGCAUUCGAUACUGCCGUGCUUGAGGACUGGAGAGGAGACUGGAAUUUACGGUGUAGCGGUGAAAUGCGUAGAUAUCGUAAGGAAGACCAGUGGCGAAGGCGGGUCUCUGGACAGUUCCUGACGCUGAGGCACGAAGGCCAGGGGAGCAAACGGG
rnacentral:rRNA from 1 species